rnacentral:rRNA from 1 species
GACAGCAGCCGCCGCGGGAAUACAGAGGGUGCAAGCGUUAAUCGGAAUUACUGGGCGUAAAGCGCGCGUAGGUGGUUUGUUAAGUUGGAUGUGAAAUCCCCGGGCUCAACCUGGGAACUGCAUUCAAAACUGACUGACUAGAGUAUGGUAGAGGGUGGUGGAAUUUCCUGUGUAGCGGUGAAAUGCGUAGAUAUAGGAAGGAACACCAGUGGCGAAGGCGACCACCUGGACUAAUACUGACACUGGGGUGCGAAAGCGUGGGGAGCAAACAGGAUUAGAUACCCCCGUAGUCCCUGUCUCUUAUAC